CCUACGGGUGGCAGCAGUGAGGAAUAUUGGUCAAUGGGCGAGAGCCUGAACCAGCCAAGUCGCGUGAAGGAUGAAGGUUCAAUGGUUUGUACACUUCUUUUAUAUGGGAAUAAAGUGUGGAACGCGUUCCUUUUUGUAUGUACCAUAUGAAUAAGCAUCGGCUAACUCCGUGCCAGCAGCCGCGGUAAUACGGAGGAUGCGAGCGUUAUCCGGAUUUAUUGGGUUUAAAGGGUGCGUAGGUGGUUAAUUAAGUCAGCGGUGAAAGUUUGUGGCUCAACCAUAAAAUUGCCGUUGAAACUGGUAGACUUGAGUAGAAGUGAGGUAGGCGGAAUGCGUGGUGUAGCGGUGAAAUGCAUAGAUAUCACGCAGAACUCCGAUUGCGAAGGCAGCUUACUAAACUAUAACUGACACUGAAGCACGAAAGCGUGGGGAUCAAACAGGAUUAGAUACCCUAGUAGUC
rnacentral:rRNA from 1 species